rnacentral:rRNA from 1 species
UUACGGCCAUAUCAGAUUGAAACGCCGGUUCUCAUACGAUCACCGAAUUUAAGCGACGUCGAGAAUGGUCAGUAGCUAGAUGGGUGAUCGCUUCGGAAGGCCGGGUGAUGU